rnacentral:misc_RNA from 1 species
AACGCACGAGACCUGCGGACCUGCGGAAGGAUCAUUACCGAGUUCUCUGCAACUCCCAACCCUGUGAACUAUACCAAAAGUUUUUUUGUUCUCGUUGCUUCUGGCAGGCGGCCCUCCGGGGCACGCAGGCUCCGGUGCCACGCCCGGGUGCCUGCCAGAGGCGGCUUGCUCCAACUUUCUAUUCUUUCUUACCUGACCGUCUGAGAACGAUUUUCACAAAAUCAAAUCAAAACUUUUAGC